GACGGGGCCCGCACAAGCGGUGGAGCAUGUGGUUUAAUUCGAAGCAACGCGAAGAACCUUACCAGGCCUUGACAUGCAGAGAACUUUCCAGAGAUGGAUUGGUGCCUUCGGGAACUCUGACACAGGUGCUGCAUGGCUGUCGUCAGCUCGUGUCGCGAGAUGUUGGGUUAAGUCCCGUAACGAGCGCAGCCCCUAUUGCUAGUUACCAUCAUUAAGUUGGGGACUCUAGCGAGACUGCCAGUGAUAAACUGGAGGAAGGUGGGGAUGACGUCAAAUCAUCAUGCCCCUUAUGACCUGGGCUACAAACGUGAUACAAUGGCUGGAACAAAGGGAUGCGAAGCAGUGAUGUGGAGCGAAACCCAUAAAAACAGUCUCAGUUCGGAUUGAAGUCUGCAACUCGACUUCAUGAAGUCGGAAUCGCUAGUAAUCGCGGAUCAGAACGCCGCGGUGAAUACGUUCUCGGGGUUU
rnacentral:rRNA from 1 species